rnacentral:rRNA from 1 species
AUCGAACGCUGGCGGCAGGCCUAACACAUGCAAGUCGGGCGAGCGGCGGACGGGUGAGUAACGUAUGGGGACUUGCUUGACGGAGGGGGAUAAUUACUGGAAACGGUAGCUAAUACCGCUUACCAUCAGAUGAACACAUAUGGGAUUAGCUUGAAGGUAAGGUAACGGCUUACCUAGGCGACGAUCCCUAGCCAGUCCGAGAGGAAGAUCAGCCACACUGGGACUGGGACACGGCCCGGCCUCCUACGGGAGGAAGAAUUGGGGAAUAUUGCACAAUGGGCGAAAGCCUGAGGCAGACAUGCCGCGUGUAUGAAGAAGGCCUUCGGGUUGUAAAAUACUUUCAGUCGGGAGGCGUUACCUACAGAGAAAGCAACGGCUAACUCCGUGCCAGCCGCCGCGGUAAUUC